CUGGUCAGGUCCAGGAGGGAGCAGCGUCAGUUGGUG
rnacentral:SRP_RNA from 1 species